rnacentral:rRNA from 1 species
CCUACGGGAGGCAGCAGUGGGGAAUUUUCCGCAAUGGGCGAAAGCCUGACGGAGCAAUACCGCGUGAGGGAGGAAGGCUCUUGGGUUGUAAACCUCUUUUCUCAGGGAAGAACAAAAUGACGGUACCUGAGGAAUAAGCAUCGGCUAACUCUGUGCCAGCAGCCGCGGUAAUACGGAGGAUGCAAGCGUUAUCCGGAAUUAUUGGGCGUAAAGCGUCCGCAGGUGGCAGUUCAAGUCUGCUGUCAAAGGUCAGGGCUCAACCCUGAACAGGCAGUGGAAACUGAACAGCUAGAGUGCGGUAGGGGCAGAGGGAAUUCCCAGUGUAGCGGUGAAAUGCGUAGAGAUUGGGAAGAACACCGGUGGCGAAAGCGCUCUGCUAGGCCUGCACUGACACUCAGGGACGAAAGCUAGGGGAGCGAAUGGGAUUAGAUACCCCAGUAGUCCUAGCCGUAAACGAUGGAUACUAGGCGUAGCUUGUAUCGACCCAAGCUGUGCCGUAGCUAACGCGUUAAGUAUCCCGCCUGGGGAGUACGCGCGCAAGCGUGAAACUCAAAUGAAUUGACGG